ACGCUCGACACCUACGGGGGGCAGCAGUGGGGAAUAUUGCACAAUGGGGGAAACCCUGAUGCAGCGACGCCGCGUGAAGGAAGAAGUAUCUCGGUAUGUAAACUUCUAUCAGCAGGGAAGAAAAUGACGGUAUCUGACUAAGAAGCCCCGGCUAACUACGUGCUAGCAGCCGCGGUAAUCUGAGCGGGCUGGCAAGGC
rnacentral:rRNA from 1 species